rnacentral:tRNA from 1 species
GCCGGCUUAGCUCAGUUGGUAGAGCAGCAGUUUUGUAAACUGCAGGUCGCCGGUUCGAGUCCGGCCGCCGGCU